rnacentral:lncRNA from 1 species
CUGCGAUCAGAUAAAUCAUCCACUUCCUUAGCAUAUUAUGUAGGAGGGACCAUGAGCUAUCUUUUCUUUCUCUCUUUGUUUUUUUUCAGAUCGAGGUUCCAGACACUUGUCCCUUUUUAUUUCCUCGUGAUCUAUCUUUUUGAGGUUUCAGACCUUGUCCAUUUUUAUUUCCUCGGAUUUCUUUAUGAUGAGCUCAUGCUCCUUUAUAAUAGUGCUUAAGAGAGUGUAUUAUG